CCAAUAGCGUAUAUUAAAGUUGUUGCAGUUAAAAAGCUCGUAGUUGAACUUCGGGGUUCACCCAUUGGUCAGGCUUAAUUGUCUGUACUGGUGAGAUGAGUCUCUACCUUCUGAGGAACUUUCAUGCCAUUUAUUUGGUGUGAUUGGAAAUCAGGACUGUUACUUUGAAAAAAUUAGAGUGUUUAAAGCAGGCUAACGUCUGAAUACAUUAGCAUGGAAUAAUGAAAUAGGACGGACUGAUUCUAUUUCGUUGGUUUCUAGGAUCACCGUAAUGAUUAAUAGGGAUAGUUGGGGGCAUUAGUAUUCAAUUGUCAGAGGUGAAAUUCUUGGAUUUAUUGAAGACUAACUACUGCGAAAGCAUUUGCCAAGGAUGUUUUCAUUAAUCAAGAACGAAAGUUAGGGGAUCGAAGACGAUCAGAUACCGUCGUAGUCUUAACCAUAAACUAUGCCGACUAGGAAUCAGACGAUGUUAAUUUUUUAAUGACUCGUUUGGCACCUUACG
rnacentral:rRNA from 1 species